rnacentral:lncRNA from 13 species
GGAAGGACAUUGAGGGCUUUGACAAAGCAUGUGCCAGCUCUGGAGGCACACGGAAGUGAGCCUUGAGAAUUGUUUCCACUUGAAUGCUCAGUUUAUGAAUAAAACACUCAUUUUAUGAACUCUAUAAGGAGGGAGUUUUUAGAAUAUUUUGCCUCACGUAAUCACUGAUGCCAGAAUGAUCGACAUGUGGAACAGAUCUGAACUCAUUU